rnacentral:rRNA from 1 species
AUUGAACGCUGGCGGCAGGCUUAACACAUGCAAGUCGAACGAGUGGCGGACGGGUGAGUAAUGUCUGGGAAACUGCCUGAUGGAGGGGGAUAACUACUGGAAACGGUAGCUAAUACCGCAUACCAUGGGAUGUGCCCAGAUGGGAUUAGCUAGUAGGUGGGGUAAAGGCUCACCUAGGCGACGAUCCCUAACUGGUCUGAGAGGAUGACCAGGCACACGGGAACUGAGACACGGUCCAGACUCCUACGGGAGGCAGCAGUGGGGAAUAUUGCACAAUGGGCGCAAGCCUGAUGCAGCCAGGCCGCGUGUGUGAAGAAGGACUUCGGGUUGUAAAGGACUUUCAGAGAGGAGGCGGUAAAAGCAGAAGAAGCACCGGCUAACUCCGUGCCAGCAGCCGCGGUAAUAA